rnacentral:rRNA from 1 species
UAGGGAAUCUUCGGCAAUGGACGGAAGUCUGACCGAGCAACGCCGCGUGAGUGAAGAAGGUUUUCGGAUCGUAAAGCUCUGUUGUAAGAGAAGAACGAGUGUGAGAGUGGAAAGUUCACACUGUGACGGUAUCUUACCAGAAAGGGACGGCUAACUACGUGCCAGCAGCCGCGGUAAUACGUAGGUCCCGAGCGUUGUCCGGAUUUAUUGGGCGUAAAGCGAGCGCAGGCGGUUAGAUAAGUCUGAAGUUAAAGGCUGUGGCUUAACCAUAGUACGCUUUGGAAACUGUUUAACUUGAGUGCAAGAGGGGAGAGUGGAAUUCCAUGCGUAGCGGUGAAAUGCGUAGAUAUAUGGAGGAACACCGGUGGCGAAAGCGGCUCUCUGGUCUGUAACUGACGCUGAUGUGCGAAAGCGUGGGGAUCAAACAGGAUUAGAUACCCUGGUAGUCCACGCCGUAAACGAUGAGUGCUAAGUGUUAGGGGGUUUCCGCCCCUUAGUGCUGCAGCUAACGCAUUAAGCACUCCGCCUGGGGAGUACGACCGCAAGGUUG